UAGGGAAUCUUCGGCAAUGGGGGCAACCCUGACCGAGCAACGCCGCGUGAGUGAAGAAGGUUUUUCGGAUCGUAAAGCUCUGUUGUAAGUCAAGAACGGGUGUGAGAGUGGAAAGUUCACACUGUGACGGUAGCUUACCAGAAAGGGACGGCUAACUACGUGCUAGCAGCCGCGGUAAUACGUAGGUCCCGAGCGUUGUCCGGAUUUAUUGGGCGUAAAGCGAGCGCAGGCGGUUUGAUAAGUCUGAAGUUAAAGGCUGUGGCUCAACCAUAGUUCGCUUUGGAAACUGUCAAACUUGAGUGCAGAAGGGGAGAGUGGAAUUCCAUGUGUAGCGGUGAAAUGCGUAGAUAUAUGGAGGAACACCGGUGGCGAAAGCGGCUCUCUGGUCUGUAACUGACGCUGAGGCUCGAAAGCGUGGGGAGCGAACAGGAUUAGAUACCCUGGUAGUCCACGCCGUAAACGAUGAGUGCUAGGUGUUGGAUCCUUUCCGGGAUUCAGUGCCGCAGCUAACGCAUUAAGCACUCCGCCUGGGGAGUACGACCGCAAGG
rnacentral:rRNA from 1 species